GAGUUUGAUCGUGGCUCAGAUUGAACGCUGGCGGCAGGCUUAACACAUGCAAGUCGAGCGGGGGAGAUUGCUUCGGUAAUUGACCUAGCGGCGGACGGGUGAGUAAUACUUAGGAAUCUGCCUAUUAAUGGGGGACAACAUCUCGAAAGGGAUGCUAAUACCGCAUACGCCCUACGGGGAAAGCAGGGGAUCACUUGUGACCUUGCGUUAAUAGAUGAGCCUAAGUCGGAUUAGCUAGUUGGUGGGGUAAAGGCCUACCAAGGCGACGAUCUGUAGCGGGUCUGAGAGGAUGAUCCGCCACACUGGGACUGAGACACGGCCCAGACUCCUACGGGAGGCAGCAGUGGGGAAUAUUGGACAAUGGGGGGAACCCUGAUCCAGCCAUGCCGCGUGUGUGAAGAAGGCCUUAUGGUUGUAAAGCACUUUAAGCGAGGAGGAGGCUCCUGUAGUUAAUACCUACAGAGAGUGGACGUUACUCGCAGAAUAAGCACCGGCUAACUCUGUGCCAGCCGCCGCAAG
rnacentral:rRNA from 1 species